rnacentral:rRNA from 1 species
GUUGCCAGCCGCCGCGGUAAUACCGGCAGCCCAAGUGAUGGCCGCUGUUAUUGGGCCUAAAGCGUCCGUAGCUGGCCGCACAAGUCCGUCGGGAAAUCCGCCCGCUCAACGGGCGGCCGUCCGGCGGAACCUGUGUGGCUUGGGACCGGGAGGCCUGAGGGGUACGAUCGGGGUAGGAGUGAAAUCCUGUGAUCCCGCUCGGACCGCCGAUGGGGAAACCACCUCAGGAGUACGGAUCCGACGGUGAGGGACGAAAGCCAGGGUCUCGAACCGGAUUAGAUACCCGUGUAGUCC